UGGAGGACCGAACCGACUUACGUUGAAAAGUGAGCGGAUGAACUGAGGGUAGCGGUGAAAUUCCAAUCGAACCUGGAUAUAGCUGGUUCUCCUCGAAAUAGCUUUAGGGCUAGCGUGUGAUGUUAAACUUUGGUGGUAGAGCACUGAAUAUGGAAUGGCGGCGCCUAGCUGUACUGACUAUAAUCAAACUCCGAAUACCAUUGUGUAUUAUCAUGCAGUCGGAACAUCGGUGAUAACGUCGAUGCUCGCGAGGGUAACAACCCAGAUCGUCAGCUAAGGUCCCAAAAUUUAUGUUAAGUGAUAAAGGUUGUGAGGUUUCUCAAACAACUAGGAAGUUGGCUUAGAAGCAGCCAUCUUUUAAAGAGUGCGUAAUAGCUCACUAGUCAAGAGACCUUGCGCCGACAAUGUAACGGGACUAAACAUAAUACCGAAGCUACGGGCAUUAUUAAAUGCGUUAGAGGAGCGUUCUAAGGACGGCGAAGCUAAACCGUGAGGAUUAGUGGAGUGCUUAGAAGUGAGAAUGCCGGUAUGAGUAACGAUUCAGAGUGAGAAUCUCUGACGCCUAUUGGGAAAGGUUUCCUGGGGAAGGUUCGUCCACCCAGGGUUAGUCGGGUCCUAAGAUCAGGCUGAAAAGCGUAGUCGAUGGAUAACAGGUUAAUAUUCCUGUACUUCCGAUAGUAAGUGAUGGAGUGACGGAGAAGGAUAAUUCUACCAAUUAAUGGAUUUUGGGGCAAGGAAAUGAGGGGUCAAUGUAGGCAAAUCCGCAUUGUUUAACCUUGAGUUCUGAUGCAUAGGGAAAGUUUCGACAAUUACCGAAUUGAAUGAUUUCACGCUUCCAAGAAAAGCUUCUAAACGUUAUAAAACUAUAGGAACCCGUACCGAGAACGGACACACGUUCCCAAGAUGAGUAUUCUAAGGCGAGCGAGAAAACCAAUGUUAAGGAACUCUGCAAAUUCACCCCGUAAGUUCGCGAGAAGGGGGGCCAUUCUUUGAAUGGCAACAUUAAAUUGUGAGGGGCAACUGUUUAUCAAAAACACAGCUCUCUGCUAAGUCGCAAGACGAUGUAUAGGGGGUGAAGUCUGCCCAGUGCCCGAAGGUUAAGUGGAGCUGUUAGCUUACGCAAAGCAGCAAAAUGAAGCCCGGGUGAACGGCGGCUGUAACAAUAACGGUCCUAAGGUAGCGAAAUUCCUUGUCGGCUAAAUACUGACCUGCACGAAAGACGCAAUGAUCUCUCAACUGUCUCAACAUUGGACUCGGUGAAAUUAUGGUUCCAGUGAAAACGCUGGAUACCCGCAUCAAAACGAAAAGACCCCGUGGAGCUUUACUACAACUUCGUAUUGGAAUUUGGUUUAACAUGUGUAGGAUAGGUGGGAGAUGGAGAAGCGGAGACGCUAGUUUCUGUGGAAUCAACCUUGAAAUACCACCCUUGUUAAAUUGAGUUUCUAACCUAUGACCGUCAUCCGGUCAGGAGACAGUGCGUGGUGGGUAGUUUGACUGGGGCGGUCGCCUCCCAAAAGGUAACGGAGGCGUUCAAAGCUACACUCAAUAUGGUCAGAAACCAUAUGUAGAGCGCAAAGGUAAAAGUGUGGUUGACUGUGAGACCUACAAGUCGAGCAGGUGCGAAAGCAGGACUUAGUGAUCCGGCAGUUCAUUAUGGAAUGGCUGUCGCUCAACGGAUAAAAGCUACCCCGGGGAUAACAGGGUUAUCUUCCCCAAGAGAUCACAUCGACGGGAAGGUUUGCCACCUCGAUGUCGGCUCAUCGCAUCCUGGAGCUGGAGUUGGUUCCAAGGGUUUGGCUGUUCGCCAAUUAAAGCGGUACGCGAGCUGGGUUCAGAACGUCGUGAGACAGUUCGGUCCCUAUUUGAUGUGGGCGUUGGAAUAUUGAUGAGAGCUGCUCUUAGUACGAGAGGACCGGAGUGGACGUACCACUGGUGCUCCAGUUGUUUCGCCAGAAGCAUAGCUGGGUAGCUAAGUACGGAAAGGAUAACCGCUGAAAGCAUCUAAGCGGGAAGCCUCCUCAAAGAUGAGUAUUCCCUUGAAAUUCCUUGUAGACUACGAGGUUG
rnacentral:rRNA from 1 species